rnacentral:rRNA from 1 species
GACGAACGCUGGCGGCGUGCUUAACACAUGCAAGUCGAACGGAAAGGCCCUGCUUUUGUGGGGUGCUCGAGUGGCGAACGGGUGAGUAACACGUGAGUAACCUGCCCUUGACUUUGGGAUAACUUCAGGAAACUGGGGCUAAUACCGGAUAGGAGCUCCUGCUACAUGGUGGGGGUUGGAAAGUUUCGGCGGUUGGGGAUGGACUCGCGGCUUAUCAGCUUGUUGGUGGGGUAGUGGCUUACCAAGGCUUUGACGGGUAGCCGGCCUGAGAGGGUGACCGGCCACAUUGGGACUGAGAUACGGCCCAGACUCCUACGGGAGGCAGCAGUGGGGAAUAUUGCACAAUGGGCGGAAGCCUGAUGCAGCAACGCCGCGUGCGGGAUGACGGCCUUCGGGUUGUAAACCGCUUUCGCCUGUGACGAAGCGUGAGUGACGGUAAUGGGUAAAGAAGCACCGGCAAACUACGUG